UGCGUAGGCGGUUUGGAAAGUCUGAUGUGAAAGCCUACAGCUUAACUGUAGAACUGCAUUGGAAACUUCCAGACUAGAAUACUGAAGGGGCAGAUGGAAUUAGUGGUGUAGGGGUAAAAUCCGUAGAUAUCACUAGGAAUACCGAAAGCGAAAGCGAUCUGCUGGGAAGUUAUUGACGCUGAGGCACGAACGCGUGGGGAGCAAACAGGAUUAGAUACCCUGGUAGUCC
rnacentral:rRNA from 1 species